ACUGGGCACAAAAGACAGUCACACAGGGCUUCUGUCACCAUAAAGGGAAAGGAUGAGUCACUUCAUGACACGUGAGACGCUUCAUGACAACCAUGAACAUUCUUUCAAACUACAGUGCAGAACUUCUCAAUGUGCGUCCCUAAUGGGAAGGGAAUGGUCUUCAGCUGGGAAAUGGAAGAAGGUGAGCCCAAGAAAAUGGCAGAAGUCCCUGGGAAAGCCUAGGCUUAGUCUUCAUGAGCACUGCAACUUCACUUGUUAAAGAUGUGGUGAUCUUGAUGUGUGGUCAUUCAAUAAAGCUCUAGGAAUGGACGAGGAAGAAAGGAGGCAGAGAAGGGAUGCUGAGGGAACUGGACACAGAAUGGGAGCCCCAAUCCCAAAAGCAGGAAGCACUCAGGGUGCUACAGCAGAUCAGCCCUUGGGACACCUCACUCGUCAGCCCUGUCCACCAGGGAGUGUGAAUCUGAGCAGGAUGAAAAUCAUGCUGUUCUUGAGAGGAAGAGAAGUGCAACCACUAAAAAGCCAAACCAACAUGCUACUGCAGGGAACUGGCGUGGCUUGGAUGGCCCCCAGAAAGACACAUGAAGCCCUAACACCCGCUAUCUCAGAAUGGGACCUGACUUGGAAAUGCAGCACUGUAGAAGCAAUCAAGUUAAGAAUGAGGUCGUCAGCCAGGAGACCGAGCCGGUGAGGACUCCCAGGCUUGCCCACCAGCCUCCAGCUUGGCCACACAGGCGCCUGCAACAAGAGACACCACCCAACCCCCCACCCCACCCCCGCCUCUUGGCUGUACAGCUACGUGGAUCCACACUACAGAGGCACAGGAGAGCAUAAAGGCCAUUGUUCUGAGGUGCAGAAGUGAACAACAGAGAGAGGGGCUCUCUCAGGCUCCCUGAUGAAAACUGAAGCCCACUGGAAAAAUGAAGAGAAUCUCUGCAAUAAAGGC
rnacentral:lncRNA from 1 species